rnacentral:rRNA from 1 species
UACGUAGGCAGCAAGCGUUGUUCGGAAUUACUGGGCGUAAAGAGUGUGUAGGCGGUGUUCUAAGUCUGUUGUGAAAUCUCCCGGCUUAACUGGGAGGGUGCGGCGGAAACUGGAAUGCUAGAGGAUGGGAGAGGUAAGCGGAAUUCCUGGUGUAGCGGUGAAAUGCGUAGAUAUCAGGAGGAACACCGGUGGUGUAGACGGCUUCUGGACCGUAACUGACGCUGAGACACGAAAGCGUGGGUAGCAAACAGG